AAACCAUGGUUUGGAGACUUCUGCAAAUAUUCUUUAAACCUCUCCCAUGCUUCAAAUAGUUAUUCCCUUGGUAGUUGCUUGAAGUGAUAAAUCUUGUCACGAUAUUU